AGGGUUGUUCCCGGGCGGAUAACGCAGCGAGCACCGGUGAUGCCGCCGGUAGAGGAGGGCCAGGAGGCAGCACAUGAGCCGGGACGAAGGAGCAGCCGGAAAAUCCGCAUCCCCGCCUCCAAGGAUUUCCUACCGCGAGGAGGAGGAGAAGAGGCGAAAAGAAGGAGGAAGCGAGACUUUUACUGGGGGAGGGAGCUCGGGGAGUGAGCGGGAGCCCGUGUGCCUGCCUCCUGCCCUACACGCGAGUGAAAGUCCCACUGUGGUGAUGGGAGCUGCGCUGGUGGGAUAUUUCUCUGCGAAGAAGGAAAAGAUCCUCCUCUUCCCUACCCCGGAGAAGUGCUGUUCCAUGGGACGGGGUCUCCCCGGGGUCUAACGCAGAGCUAUGAAGCGGGGACAGAGGCAGAGCGAGCUCCUUCAGGCAGGGCUGGGAUCUGAGCUCGCACAAAUCGCUCCCCAGUGGACUCGUCCCAGGUUCCUGCCCUUCCCCGUCCCUUCGCUCGGCUCCGAGAGGGAAGAACCGGAGCUGGGAGCCCGUCGGCG